AAUCCAAGAAUGGUGAAGUUUUGGGUAGAUAACCAAUUCUCCCAACCCUGAAUCACUUCCCAAACCGGAAACCCCAAAGAACACGCGAGCGGCGGCGCCAGAUCUGUGGCCGCCUCCGCGUAGAUCCUCCUCUCGACUGUCCUUCACACCGGCGCCCGCAACCUCUGCACCAUCGGCAGACUCGUUCUGUGGGCGUCCCUGCUAAUCUACCAUUGAGCCUUGACCCAGCGCCUCCCAUCCCUUGCACGUGAGCUCCUCCGUCCCUGUCUGCGCCUCACCUCGAUCUUGGCCUCGUUCACAACCUCCUGCUCCGUGGUGCCAUCCCUGGAGUAGCAGGAAUGGAUGUCCGGUCUGCCUGUGCCUGUUUUCUGGUGAUGCUUGUGUUGUUUGGAAGCACUACUUCUGCAGAGGAUUGUCACAUGGAGCGCUUUAAGCUCAUUUACUGCACUGAUCUUACAUGCAAGAAUAAUUGCUCGUUGAAUUGGGGUGACAAGGUCCGCGAAUCAAGCUGUGAAGGGAUAUUCAACGGCCAUUGCAGCUGCAAGAUUUGUUCCGUUUAGUAGAACUUCAAUUGAUAUUUAAAAUGCAUGCUAAGUGCACUUGAAGUUGUCAAUAAAUAAUUCAUCAUAUUAUGACCUGGAAUGACUUAGUUAAACACGUGAUUGUAUUCUUGGCAGAGGGA